rnacentral:tRNA from 1 species
GAUGUAUUAGUGGCUCAGCGUCAGAGCACCGGUUUUGUAACCCGGAAGUCGAAGGUUAAAGUCCUUCCUAUUACU